ACGAACGCUGGCGGCGUGCUUAACACAUGCAAGUCGAACGGAAAGGCCCUGCUUUUGUGGGGUGCUCGAGUGGCGAACGGGUGAGUAACACGUGAGUAACCUGCCCUUGACUUUGGGAUAACUUCAGGAAACUGGGGCUAAUACCGGAUAGGAGCUCCUGCUGCAUGGUGGGGGUUGGAAAGUUUCGGCGGUUGGGGAUGGACUCGCGGCUUAUCAGCUUGUUGGUGGGGUAGUGGCUUACCAAGGCUUUGACGGGUAGCCGGCCUGAGAGGGUGACCGGCCACAUUGGGACUGAGAUACGGCCCAGACUCCUACGGGAGGCAGCAGUGGGGAAUAUUGCACAAUGGGCGGAAGCCUGAUGCAGCAACGCCGAGUGCGGGAUGACGGCCUUCGGGUUGUAAACCGCUUUCGCCUGUGACGAAGCGUGAGUGACGGUAAUGGGUAAAGAAGCACCGGCUAACUACGUG
rnacentral:rRNA from 1 species